rnacentral:rRNA from 1 species
AGCAGCCGCGGUAAUUCCAGCUCCAAUAGCGUAUAUUAAAGUUGUUGCAGUUAAAAGGCUCGUAGUUGAAUUUCGGGAUCAGCGCGUCGGUCGUGCCUCCGGUAUGCACUGGCGCCGCUGGUUUCUCCCUUCUGAGGAACCGUGAUGUCAUUAAUUUGGUGUUGCGGGAAAUCAGGACUGUUACUUUGAGAAAAUUAGAGUGUUUAAAGCGGGCACGCGCUUGAAUACAUUAGCAUGGAAUAACGAAAUAGGACGUUCGAUCUUAUUUUGUUGGUUUCUAGGAUUGACGUAAUGAUUAAUAGGGAUAGUUGGGGCAUUAGUAUUCAAUUGUCAGAGGUGAAAUUCUUGGAUUUAUUGAAGACUAACUACUGCGAAAGCAUUUGCCAAGGAUGUUUUCAUUAAUCAAGAACGAAAGUUAGGGAUCGAAGACGAUCAGAUACCGUCGUAGUC